AAUUCGAAAUCGAAUGGAGUGAGGUUUGGAUUCCAUUAUCGCUAUUCGCAUUGUGUGGCACGAGGCGGCACGACCUUGUUUCCCUGUGACUCGUCGGAGUCGCACACAUCAGUAAAUAUGCAGCGUAGUAUACUCCGCGCGACAAGUCUCCAGUUGUUGCAAAGACGCUUCUUUAAGAAAUACCACGUGAGGGUUAGAUUUGCGCCCAGCCCUACCGGCCACUUGCAUUUAGGAGGAUUGCGCACGGCGUUGUACAAUUAUUUAUUUGCACGUAGCAACAAUGGCACAUUUAUUUUGAGGAUCGAGGACACCGAUCAAACAAGGACAAUUCCUGGAGCAAUAGAAAAAAUCCAGGAUGAUUUGCUAUGGGCAGGGAUUAUAUCUGAUGAAGAUCCUACCAGAGGAGGCCCUGUUAGUCCUUAUAUACAAUCGUCAAGGCUUGAAUUAUAUAAGGAGCAGGUGCUUAAACUCUUGAACAAUGGAUCUGCUUACUAUUGCUUCUGCACAGAGAAAAGACUGGACCUGCUGAGGAAAGAGGCAAUGAAAUGUGGACAAAUACCUAAAUACGAUAACAGAUGCCGACAUUUUACUAAGGAUGAAGUAAAAGAAAUGAUUAAGAAAAACUUGACUUAUUGUAUUAGAUUUAAGUUAUCAUCCACACCAGAAACCUUUCAUGAUCUAGUUUAUGGAGAUGUCUUGCAUGAUAUCACUAAAUCUGAGGGAGAUCCAGUUAUCAUAAAAUCAGAUGGUUAUCCUACUUACCAUUUUGCAAACGUAGUCGAUGAUCACUUUAUGGAGAUAUCUCAUGUCUUACGUGGUGUUGAAUGGCAAGUUUCUACAUCUAAACAUAUUAUGCUUUACAAAGCAUUUGGUUGGAAUCCUCCUAUAUACGGACAUUUACCUUUGAUAAUGAAUGCAGAUGGAUCUAAAUUAUCAAAAAGACAAGGUGACAUAAAAAUCGACUCAUUCCGGAAACAAGGUAUUUUUCCACUAGCAUUAUUGAAUUAUGUGAUAGGAGCUGGUGGUGGUUUUCACAGAGAACAAGACAACCAAGAUCUUUAUUCUUAUGAGGAAUUAAUUAAACAGUUUGAUAUUACAAAAAUAAAACUAAGUUCUGGCAAACUUAUGCCUGAGAAAUUAUUGGAAUUUAAUAAACUGGAAAUGGCGAAUUUACUACGAAAUGAAAAAAAUCAUAAAUUUUUUAUUGAAAAAAUUAAGAAAUUAGUGUUAAAAACUUUCCCCGAAUGGAAAAAUGAUGGAAAUUUGCAAUUAGAUGAUGAUCACAUAAUAACAACAUUUAAAUGGGCACAAAACAGGAUAACGACACUUAAUGAUCUCGUCAAAGAAGAUUUAGCAUUUUUAUGGAUUGUUCCAUCUUCUAUGCCAAAUGUUAAACAAGAUGGAUGUUCAGAUGCGAUUAAACUAUUGAACGCGGAAUUAGUGGAAAUAGAUGCGAGUAAUUACAAGACCGAUUGGAUGGCACCUUAUCUAAAAGAUUUUGCCAAAAAGAACGGAGUACCAUUCGCUGCUUUUAUGAAAACUCUGAGAAGCGUUAUGAGCGGCGUAAAUAUUGGACCACCUGUUGCUGAAAUGAUGGAAAUUUUGGGAAAGGAUAGAACGUUAUUGCGAUUACAGCGUUGUGUUUCUUGAGAACUUAUAUAUGUUGUGUAAUUGCAAAUGGAUUGUACUGUCAAAGAUUGAAAAUGGUAUGUACAGAUUGAUAUAUGUAUCUAAAAGAGACAUGGAAACUCUCCUUACUUUGCAAAACGAAGCAUUUUGAGGACACUGGCAAGUUUCC
rnacentral:misc_RNA from 1 species